GAUGAACGCUGGCGGCGUGCCUAACACAUGCAAGUCGAGCGGAGACCCCUGAAGUAGAAAUGCGGAAGGGAUCUUAGCGGCGGACGGGUGAGUAACACGUGAGCAAUCUGCCUUCUGCAGGGGAAUAACAUUGUGAAAAACAGUGCUAAUACCGCAUGACAUGGCACCGGGGCAUCCCGGAGCCAUCAAAGGAGCAAUCCGGCAGGAGAUGAGCUCGCGUCCGAUUAGGUAGUUGGUGAGGUAACGGCCACCAAGCCGACGAUCGGUAGCCGAACUGAGAGGUUGAUCGGCCACAUUGGGACUGAGACACGGCCCAGACUCCUACGGGAGGCAGCAGUGGGGAAUAUUGGGCAAUGGGGGAAACCCUGACCCAGCAACGCCGCGUGAAGGACGAAGGCCUUCGGGUUGUAAACGUUCUUUGAUCAGGGACGAAAAAAUGACGGUACCUGAAGAACAAGACCACGGCUAACUACGUGCCAGCAGCCGCGGUAAAUAGCGUACG
rnacentral:rRNA from 1 species